rnacentral:lncRNA from 1 species
UGUAUCCACCCAGUGCUACUUUCCUGGAACCCACUGUAUGCUAUUGCUGUAUGCCUUGAUGUAAGUCUGUUUUGAAUACCAAUGAGCCAUAAAAUUUUCAGGAUGAUCACUCUUAUAAAAUAUGGCACAUAUUGCAUGUUGCCAAAGGAUGCUAGUAAGAUCCCACUCUCUAUAACUGCAACUUCUUUUUUCAAUAUUCAUAGUGUAUUUAUCCUCCUUGUCAUUUGCAUUAGUUAUCUCAUAUCCCAUAUCUCCAUUCCACUGCAUAAACCAAUUGAAUGACUUCUUAUUUUUCUCUAGUUUCUCCAUAAACCUAGGAGAUUGAUCACAAAUCUAAGAAUUAACAGACUCUCUUUUAGUCCACAACCUAUUCAUCACUUGCACCCUAAUAUCUUCAAGCAUUGAAAUAAUUACCUUGCAUCUUGGUUCAAGUAUCCAGCCAUUGAAAGUCUCUGAUAGGUUGUUAUCCACAAUAUCACACUUUACAUCAACAUUAAAGUAUGCCUUGCACCAGCUUUUAACCCCAUAACUUAAGACAACUUGCACAAUGUUCUCUCCAAGUUCAUUAAGUGUUUCUAAUCUAUCUUUCAACUACCUCCCAAAAGUUACCCUAGCACAAUUCUAAAAAAUAAAUUUUCUCUCCUCACUUCUCCAUUUUUUUGCCCAAUUAGCAUUUAUGUGUCUUGUACACAUUCUAUGCUCAACAUUGGAAAAAAUCUCUUCCAUUGUAGAUUCUAAUCCCUAAAAAACAAUACAGUAGCAUAUAAUAAAUAUACAUUACAAUAUAUACAUGUGUUAGUUACAAUAAAAGUAAUAAAAAGUUACCUUUUGUAUGUCUGAAAUGAUGGUGAAGCCUCCUCCUUCAACUUCAAACUAGGUUGUGACAUUAUCCUACUCAUGUACUCCCUCUUUAAAAACUCAUUAUUACAGAAUUUUGUUUUGGUGUAUCUGUAGCAUUUGGUGAGGGUUAUAUGUCUUAAAUGUGUUAGUGGCAUUAUGUAUGCUCACAUGCAGAACCCAAGGACAAUCUAUCCUACAAACAGCCCUUAUUCUGUCACCAUCAUUCUUUGCAUAAUGGACAUGUGAUACCUUCAUAACACUACACCUUGUAACAAAUUCCCUUCCCUAAUAUUUUUGCAAGUCAUUCCAACACAAAAAACAAGUAUUUUUGCAUUAGGAUCAAAACAAACAUUUAUCUCAUUUUUCCUCACAAGACCAUCAUCAUACUCAUUAUCAGUUUCUUCAACAUAACUACCUAGGUCAGAGCUGCUAUAGUAAACAUUAUCAUUCCCAUCACUACUCUCAUUGUCUUUUGAGAUGUCAUCAUCAUCAAGAACUUCCUCUCCAUAAAAAAAUGAUGUCUACAGGUAUAUUCUGACCAUCUUCAGCAUCUUUUCCAACUUUCUCCUUCUGUUAUUGUGUUUUAUUUCUAAACCUAUACUGUCUCACAUUUUCUCUAGCAGCUAUCAACUCAUCGUCCUCAUCACCGGUCAAUCCACUCAUAUUUAUACAGAUUUUAUUAAAUGUUUGAUGUCUCUCAAAAAUAGGUAAUCCUUCCUCUUCAUCAGACCACUCAUCUACUUCAACAUCAACAUCAGAAGAGGUAUUCAAAGGUAUACUACCCCCAUCUGUCAUAGGUAUACUUUCCUAAUUACUAUUUCUAUUCAAAACCUAGACAAAGGAUUGAGCACUGGUACCUUGCCCUAUCAGUAAUACAAGUAUUACUGCAGUGUUCAAUGUAAAACUCUAGAUAGUUCCCAUCCUUUAAACCACUUGCAGCUUGUAAGACAGAAGAGUCAUCAGUAAUUAAGAUAAAUGGUCCACCAACACCUUUUCUAUAGAACAACCCAUUAAUACUGUUGUACCCCAUUUCCUAUACAUAAGACAUGAUAUUGAGAUAUGACAAAAGGUCAAUAUCUAAGUUACUCUCCACUAUUCUAGCCUUACCUCCCACAUAACUAUGCACUCAGUCCCUAGCUAAAUCACCUCCGUGGUGAAUAAUCAGUUUCAAUUCUGAUGUCAUACAUACCUGUAAAGGAAACAAUGCAUAAUUUACGACCACAAAUCACUGUAAGUAUACAAAUAAAGGUAUCCAUAUACUAUAUUACAGCAAAUAAAUACACAGCAUAACUCAUGCAAAACCAAACAAAUACCUUCAAAUCCCUAAACAAUGAAGCAUUUUCUUAAAUUCAGCGCAACGUAAACACAAAUGAUGAAACCAUAAGUUGACUAAAUGAUAGUGUUAUUUAAAUAAAAAAAGAAAAAGUAAGCUAAAAGUUAAGUUGCAAUAGUUAACAUUGGGACCACAAUAUAAUUAAAAAACACAACAGACACCAGUAUAAGAAGACAAAUACACUUAACAAAUAUGAAUUUACAAACCUUUAAAGGAACAAGAAGGCCCACCACCAGGUAAAGACAAACAAUGCCUGUUCUUCGAUUACUCUCUGUCAAAAAAGAAACAAACAUUUACAAAAACCCAAACGACAGUCAAUAUUAAAAAAAAAUAUUUAGGAGUUGGGAUUUGCUAUUAAGUUUUUUGGAAGAAUAAUAAGGAUUACUUUUAAGUUUUUUGAAGGAUUGAAUUUUGGUUAUUUUUCAAUUUUAAGGUUUUGUUAGGAAAUUUCCUCUUUCUGCGUAUACAUCGUUAUGAGUUAGGGAUUUACUUUGUUAUGUUUGUAGAAUAACCAAACUAACAUUUUCUUUUAUAAAUAUUUACUUUAAUAAAUAAUAAAUAUUUGCCACUGUUAUCACCCAUUUUCUAAAUAGAGAUAUCGAGCAAAAAAUAGAAAACUCUUUAUCCUACUGGGAUUUGCUAUUAAGUUUUUUGGAAGAAUAAUAAGGAUUACUUUAUUUUUUUUUUGAAGGAUUGGAUUUUGGUUGCCGCUUAAUUUUAAGGUUUUGUUAGGAAAUUUCCUCUUUCUGUGUAUACAUCGUUAUUGAUUAGGAAUUUAUUUUGUUAUGUCUACAAAAUAACCAAACUAACCUUUUCUUUUAUAAAUAUUUACUUUAACAAAUAAUGGAUAUUUGCUACUAUCAAUACCCAUUUUUCGGAUACAGAUAUCGAUGAAGAAAUGGAAAACUCUGUGAUGAGAGUUACUGUUUUCUUAGGUCUCGGGAGGUAAAGAACAAGUGAAUCCGAGGUCGGGGUCAAGGUUAAUCCAACUGGAACUAGAUUUUUUUUUUUUGAAAUCAAUUUAGACCUAAUUGUAAAAAAAAAUUAAGUCAAAAUCACAAAAAACCAAAAAAUUUUCUCUAGAUCUAAUCAGCUCUAUAUAGUGCCAAUCGGCUCUACAUAGUGUCAAUCGACUCUUGACUCUUCGACGUCAUUUUUUUAGAUAAUUUUACGUCCAAAUCCAGUUUUUAGAAAGUUCCCUUAGGGAUAAUUAUUGUUUUAUCGAUAAUUACUUUGAUUUUAAUUAAAUCAUUGAAUGUUUAUCGAUAAAUUCCUGGGAUUUAUUUCUUUCUCUAGGGUUUGCUUUGAAACGCUACCUCUAUAAAUUGUAAGAGGAGUUUAGGAUUUCAGGGAGGAGGCAAGAAUUAAUUUUUUGAUCGAUACCAAUAUUUGAGAGAAAAUUAAGAGAGAACAAAAGGAAUAGCACCAUCGAUCAUAAUUAGAAUUCAAGAACUCAAGCCACUAAGAAAGAAGAUUUUAGUAAACUAGUCACUUAAGAAAGAACACUUUUUGGAAACUCCUUUUCAAUCGACAUAAUAUUUUAUGAAGUCAGAUUCAACUUUGAAUUCCUACCUAGUUUUUGAUUCAACUGCUUUCUCAUCACCCGAGACAUAUAGAUCCAACAUAUACGGUGACAACCUGAGGCUUUCUACCAUACAUCUGCAUCAAUCAUAAAAACCGGUUCUUUUAUUCCUUUUUUUUUUGUCUUUUAUAUGCUUUUAUAUUAUUAUUUCUUAGAAACAUGAUUAGGAUUUUUAUCUUUGAUCAAUAUGAUUCAAUUAGGGUUUUAGAAUAUGCAAUAUUAAUAGGAUUUUGAAUUUGAUAAUAAAAACUAGAAAUUUUUUCUUAGAUAUGAUAUUUUACCGAUUAGAGUUUUAGAUUUACUUAAAAACAUUAUUAUAGGAUUAAUAUUUAGUUUCUGCUAUUAUAAUUUGGUAAUUAAGACUAAAUUAAAAUAUGUUUCUUUCUCUAAUAACUUACUACUAGUUUAUAGGAUUUUAGGGUUUCUAGCAAUUUAGGGUUUUCUUGGCUUCUAUACUUUAUUUUGUUAAUUUUCUUAGCUAUUUAGUCUCAUUCUAAUAUUGUUCAAACAUUUGUGCAUAUGAAAAUCGUCUCUAGAAUAUGGGUUUGGACUAUCAAACGAGGAAGAAUCAAAGGAAAUCUAUUCGAAGUGCCCCCUAGACCCCAGAGCCGAUCGGCUCUACAUGCACGGCAUGCUAGCCCCAAAUUUUUUGCUUUUUUCGCAGUUGUUGAUGUAUUCUUGGCCUCUAUUCAGUUUUAGGCCUUUUUAGUUCUGUAAUCUAGUUAUAGGCAGGUUGUAAUUCUAGGAUUUUUUUUCUUGUUUUAUUUCCUUUAUUAUUAUUUUAUUUUUUAUUGCAUGUUAACCCAAUACUUGAUCAUAUGAUUGAUUAAAUAAAAAUGAGCACCCUAGACUUAGGGCUGAAAAAC